AUUCUCCCCAAUUCUACUGAGAUAACAAGAGAGAGAGAGAGAGAGAGAGAGAGAGAGAGAGAGAGGAAGGAGGAGGCCUCGGCUAAGGGGGAGGGAGGGAGGAAGGAGAGGUCCGUUUUUGACGAUCCAACUCGGUGACAAGUAACAAGCCGGUCUUUUAGGAGGUGCCGAAACCGUAAGUUUGGCAUACUCCAGUCGAAUGAAAGGUAGCAGGUGGCUUAGAGUGGGUCCACUACUGGUCAACGCUUUGGAGAGUGCUGAGACUAGUCUCGGGUGAUGUCUUUGGUUAGAUUGUUGUGUAGCUGAUUUGUCUAGAAGUUAACCUAAAUGUUUUGUAAUUAAUUGGAGAGAGGGAUAUUUAUUAUAACUUGUGAGUUGAGAUUUUGGCGUUGACUUGGUUGUAUUUUAAGUGAGAAGUCUUCCGCUAA